AAACCUAUUAAGUAUAUAUUUAAAUACUUACAAAGUAAAAUAACAUACGUGUUUAGGAAAUGUAUUGUCCUCGGACAUCAGAAUUAGAUUAAUGCAACCAGUAGAAACAAUCAGCACUAGAUACUCCAUACCUCGCCCAUGGUUUUGAAUUUCAAUCCUGACCCGUCACAAACGUGAAGAAAGCUUUGGGAAGUAGCCCCUAUCAGCUUGGGCAGAGCAGGUCAAGAUUGCCAUCUCAAAUAGCGUAUAUUGAGAUUCCAGCUAUGAAACACCGACACUCCUAGAAGCCGACGUAUCGACGUUUGGGACAACGGGGACACGGCGGGGACACGCCCCAAAACGUAUGGGACACGCCACUGGCGUGUCGUAAUUUUUUUAAUAUGUUUUUUGAGGGGACACUGCAAAAAUGGGACAAAAACGGCGGGGGGUCAAAUUUUGCAUUUUAAACUUUAUAGGGCAAAUUUAAUAGUAGUGAAAAGUUAAGGGAAAAAAGUGUAUUUGUCCUAUAUAUACUAUUAAAUUCCCCUAGGCCCGGUCAAUUUCUCCCAAUCCAUCGCGUUUUCGCGCGCCCAAAUUUCUAAAAGGAAAUUAGUACAACUCGUUUAUCCAUUCAUUAAAAGGAACAAAAUGACACCACAACGGGCGGAAUACUUGGUGUUUGUCAUAGCAAUCUCCGUCUUUUGUCAGGAGAAGUCCACAAUAUUGUAGCGGGUAGACCUAAGAUGUGGGAAUUUUGCGGGAGACCAAUUUUGCUCACUUGAAGAUGUUUGGGUAUGCUAGGUUGCAACCUCUCUCUUGAUGAACCCAGUUGGAGGUUGUAGUCUUUACGGACGAUGGAGACGUUGAGGGAUCAAUACGCAGGUUGAAGUGACGAAGUUUGGGUCUAGUUAAAUUUUGAAAACAUGGUUCAUGUUUGCUUAGUUUAUUUAUUUUGCUUAUUAUUAUGCAACUAUGGAUAUUCCCUAUUUUCAAUUGGGUUGUAAAGUUGUAACUUGUUAGAAAUUAGAACUACUACUUUUAGUGUUAUCAAGAAUAUAUUAUAUAUAAAUAUUAUUUAUAUUAAUAUUAUUUGCCGUGUCCCCGCGUGUCCCGUGUCAAUUUUUUCAAAUGCCGUACCGUGUCCCUAUUGUGUCCGUGUCCUUAUCCGUGUCCGUGUCCGUGCUACUAGAUUCAGCUAUCCCAUAUCCCAAGAAACAAGUCAUAGAGCAUGAAGAUCCCAUUCCCCUUGACCCCCCUUGACCCCUCAAGAAAAAGAAAAAAGAGAGAAAAAUCAGAAGCAAAUUUAGCACCUCCUAUUGUAUAGUUUUGAUGUAAGUUGUCAAAUUUUA
rnacentral:lncRNA from 1 species